GGUUGGUCUGAAGAUAGUGAGUUAUCUCAACUGAUUGCUCACAGUCAGUUACAGGUCCAACUCCUUGUUCUGUUCCUUCUCCCCUUCUUACUACUGCACUUGACUAAUCAAAA
rnacentral:Y_RNA from 1 species